UGGGGGAUAUUGCACAAUGGGGGAAACCCUGAUGCAGCGAUGCCGCGUGAGGGAAGAAGGUUUUCGGAUUGUAAACCUCUGUGGAGGGGGACGAUAAUGACGGUACCCCUUUAGGAAGCAACGGCUACCUACGUUCCAGCAGCCGCGGUAAUACGUAGGUGGCGAGCGUUGUCCGGAAUUACUGGGUGUAAAGGGAGCGUAGGCGGGAAAGCAAGUCAGAAGUGAAAAUUAUGGGCUUAACCCAUAACCUGCUUUUGAAACUGUUUUUCUUGAGUGAGUCAGAGGCAAGCGGAAUUCCCAGUGUAGCGGUGAAAUGCGUAGAUAUUGGGAGGAACACCAGUGGCGAAGGCGGCUUGCUGGGGCUUUACUGACGCUGAGGCUCGAAAGCGUGGGGAGCAAACAGG
rnacentral:rRNA from 1 species